GAGCUCUCCUCUCCUCUGCAUUUGUGAAAUUUCCAAGUAUAGACCUAGCUUCAUGGGGCAACCCGAGACUUCUAGGAAAGCGUACCUUUGAGACAACAAGCAUGCGUGCGAUCAGUUGAUAUGCGGCCCUAUACCUGCUUGAUGUGGACGACGACAAGGCUCGAGACAUCAACCGCGCGACCGAUGGUUCAGCUAUGGGAUUGGAGAGAGAAGAGGAUGCGAGACGAUAUGAUGCAAGCGUCGGAGGAGGCCUUGGAGGGCACGCGGCUUAUGAGUCAGGUAUUGAGCGUGAUAAUUGAGUCUGUACUUGGGGGUGAGCUGAGUUUGUUUAUAUGGUUCGAACCUAACCUAGAGAUCUUCUUGUUGUGUUGGCUCGGGGGCGGUCGAACACUAGUUUAUUUUUUUUUGUUUUAAUUUGAAAGAAUCAUUGUACGCUUCCAAAUCUUUCAUUAAUGAAACGAAUUA